rnacentral:rRNA from 1 species
CUAAAUACUCGUAAUCGACCGAUAGUGAACUAGUACCGUGAGGGAAAGGCGAAAGAACCCGGGAGGGGAGUGAAAUAGAUCCUGAAACCGCAUGCAUACAAAAGUCGGAGCCUCGCAAGGGGUGACGGCGUACCUUUUGUAUAAUGGGUCAGCGACUUACAUUCAGUGGCGAGCUUAACCGCAUAGGGAAGGCGCAGGGAAACCGAGUCCGAACAGGGCGUUCAGUCGCUGGGUGUAGACCCGAAACCAAGUGAUCUAUCCAUGGCCAGGAUGAAGGUACCGUAACAGGUGCUGGAGGUCCGAACCGACUAGUGUUGCAAAACUAGCGGAUGAGCUGUGGAUAGGGGUGAAAGGCUAAACAAAUCUGGAAAUAGCUGGUUCUCUCCGAAAACUAUUUAGGUAGUGCCUCAAGUAUUACUGCGGGGGGUAGAGCACUGUUAUGGCUAGGGGGUCAUGGCGACUUACCAAACUAUGGCAAACUCCGAAUACCCGCAAGUACAGCUUGGGAGACAGAGCACCGGGUGCUAACGUCCGGACUCAAGAGGGAAACAACCCAGACCGCCAGCUAAGGUCCCAAAUUAUCGCUAAGUGGGAAACGAAGUGGGAAGGCAUAGACAGUCAGGAGGUUGGCUUAGAAGCAGCCAUCCUUUAAAGAAAGCGUAAUAGCUCACUGAUCGAGUCGUCCUGCGCGGAAGAUGUAACGGGGCUAAGCGAUAAACCGAAGCUGCGGGUGUGUACUUUGUACACGCGGUAGGAGAGCGUUCUGUAAGCCUGCGAAGGUGGCUUGUAAAGGCUGCUGGAGGUAUCAGAAGUGCGAAUGCUGACAUGAGUAACGAUAAUGCGGGUGAAAAGCCCGCACGCCGUAAGCCCAAGGUUUCCUGUUCAACGUUCAUCGGAGCAGGGUGAGUCGGCCCCUAAGGCGAGGCAGAGAUGCGUAGCUGAUGGGAAGCAGGUUAAUAUUCCUGCACCGUCGUAUGAUGCGAUGGGGGGACGGAUCGCGGAAGGUUGUCCGGGUGUUGGAAGUCCCGGUCCCUGCAUUGGAGAAGGCGCUCAGGCAAAUCCGGGCGCGGGAUUCAAGGAUGUGGGGCGAGCGGCCUAGUGCUGCGAAGCAAUUGGAAGUGGUUCCAAGAAAAGCCUCUAAGCUUCAGUCAUACGAGACCGUACCGCAAACCGACACAGGUGGGCGAGAUGAGUAUUCUAAGGCGCUUGAGAGAACUCGGGAGAAGGAACUCGGCAAAUUGGUACCGUAACUUCGGGAAAAGGUACGCCCCGGUAGCUUGAUCACUUUACUGUGUGAGGGCGAAAGGGUUGCAAUAAACUGGUGGCUGCGACUGUUUAAUAAAAACACAGCACUCUGCAAACACGAAAGUGGACGUAUAGGGUGUGACGCCUGCCCGGUGCUGGAAGAUUAAAUGAUGGGGUGCAAGCUCUUGAUUGAAGUCCCAGUAAACGGCGGCCGUAACUAUAACGGUCCUAAGGUAGCGAAAUUCCUUGUCGGGUAAGUUCCGACCUGCACGAAUGGCGUAACGAUGGCCACACUGUCUCCUCCCGAGACUCAGCGAAGUUGAAGUGUUUGUGAUGAUGCAAUCUACCCGCGGCUAGACGGAAAGACCCCAUGAACCUUUACUGUAGCUUUGCAUUGGACUGUGAACCGGCCUGUGUAGGAUAGGUGGGAGGCUUUGAAGCGUGGACGCCAGUUCACGUGGAGCCGUCCUUGAAAUACCACCCUGGUUUGUUUGAGGUUCUAACCUUGGCCCGUGAAUCCGGGUCGGGGACAGUGCAUGGUAGGCAGUUUGACUGGGGCGGUCUCCUCCCAAAGUGUAACGGAGGAGUUCGAAGGUACGCUUGGUACGGUCGGACAUCGUACCUAAAGUGCAAUCAAAACGUGCUUAACUGCGAGACCGACAAGUCGAGCAGGUGCGAAAGCAGGACAUAGUGAUCCGGUGGUUCUGAAUGGAAGGGCCAUCGCUCAACGGAUAAAAGGUAC